rnacentral:rRNA from 2 species
AGCGGCGGACGGGUGAGUAACACGUGGGUAACCUGCCUGUAAGACUGGGAUAACUCCGGGAAACCGGGGCUAAUACCGGAUGGUUGUUUGAACCGCAUGGUUCAGACAUAAAAGGUGGCUUCGGCUACCACUUACAGAUGGACCCGCGGCGCAUUAGCUAGUUGGUGAGGUAACGGCUCACCAAGGCGACGAUGCGUAGCCGACCUGAGAGGGUGAUCGGCCACACUGGGACUGAGACACGGCCCAGACUCCUACGGGAGGCAGCAGUAGGGAAUCUUCCGCAAUGGACGAAAGUCUGACGGAGCAACGCCGCGUGAGUGAUGAAGGUUUUCGGAUCGUAAAGCUCUGUUGUUAGGGAAGAACAAGUGCCGUUCAAAUAGGGCGGCACCUUGACGGUACCUAACCAGAAAGCCACGGCUAACUACGUGCCAGCAGCCGCGGUAAUACGUAGGUGGCAAGCGUUGUCCGGAAUUAUUGGGCGUAAAGGGCUCGCAGGCGGUUUCUUAAGUCUGAUGUGAAAGCCCCCGGCUCAACCG